rnacentral:rRNA from 1 species
AGUGAACGCUGGCGGUAGGCCUAACACAUGCAAGUCGAACGGCAGCACAGUAAGAGCUUGCUCUUACGGGUGGCGAGUGGCGGACGGGUGAGGAAUACAUCGGAAUCUACUUUUUCGUGGGGGAUAACGUAGGGAAACUUACGCUAAUACCGCAUACGACCUACGGGUGAAAGCAUGGGAUCUUCGGACCUUGCGCGAUUGAAUGAGCCGAUGUCGGAUUAGAUAGUUGGCGGGGUAAAGGCCCACCAAGGCGACGAUCCGUAGCUGGUCUGAGAGGAUGGUCAGCGACACUGGAACUGAGACAGGGUCCAGACGCCUACGAGAGGCAGCAGUGGGGAAUGUUGGACAAUGGGCGCAAGUCUGAUCCAGCCGUACCGCGUGGGUGAAGAAGGCGUUGGGGUUGUAAAGACCUUUUGUUGGGAAAGAAAAGCAGCAGGUUAAUACCCCGCUGUUCUGACGGUACCCAAAGAAUAAGCACCGGCUAACUUCGUG